rnacentral:rRNA from 1 species
CCUACGGGCGGCAGCAGUGAGGAAUAUUGGUCAAUGGACGCAAGUCUGAACCAGCCAUGUCGCGUGCAGGAUGACGGCCCUACGAGUUGUAAACCGCUUUUGUACGAGGGUAAAUCCCGAUACGUGUAUCGGUUUGAAAGUACCGUACGAAUAAGGACCGGCUAACUCCGUGCCAGCAGCCGCGGUAAUACGGAGGACUCAAGCGUUAUCCGGAUUUAUUGGGGUUAAAGGGUGCGUAGGCGGUCCGUUAAGUUAGAUGUGAAAUCCCGGGGCUCAACUCCGGCACUGCCGUUGAUACUGUCGGGCUAGAGUUUAGUUGCGGUAGGCGGAAUGUAUGGUGUAGCGGUGAAAUGCAUAGAGAUCA